rnacentral:tRNA from 1 species
GGCUAUGUAGCUCAGCUGGUUUAGAGCGCAGCAUUCAUAAUGCUGAGGUCGAUGGUUCAAGUCCAUCCAUAGCCACCA